CCGUAGCCCAAGAGAUCGGGAUAACACCUGGAAACAGAUGCUAAUACCGGAUAACAACAGAUGAUGCCUAUCAACUGUUUAAAAGAUGGUUCUGCUAUCACUCUUGGAUGGACCUGCGGUGCAUUAGCUAGUUGGUAGGGUAACGGCCUACCAAGGCGAUGAUGCAUAGCCGAGUAGAGAGACUGAUCGGCCACAUUGGGACUGAGACACGGCCCAAACUCCUACGGGAGGCAGCAGCG
rnacentral:rRNA from 1 species